GUCAAGAAAUGGUAAGGAUAACUCUUCUAUAUACACGGGGUACCAGUACUGAAUCUAUGUGCAGGGGUACCAGGUAAUACCAUGGUUAUAUACACGGGGUACCAGUACUGAAUCUAUGUGCAGGGUUACCAGGUAAUAACAUGGCUAUAUACAGGGAGUACCAGGUAAUAACAUGGUUAUAUACAGGGAGUACCAGGUAAUAACAUGGUUAUAUACAGGGAGUACCAGGUAAUAACAUGGUUAUAUACAGGGAGUACCAGGUAAUAACAUGGUUAUAUACAGGGAGUACCAGGUAAUAACAUGGUUAUAUACAGGGAGUACCAGGUAAUAACAUGGUUAUAUACAGGGAGUACCAGGUAAUAACAUGGCUAUAUACAGGGAGUACCAGGUAAUAACAUGGCUAUAUACAGGGAGUACCAGGUAAUAACAUGGCUAUAUACAGGGAGUACCAGGUAAUAACAUGGCUAUAUACAGGGAGUACCAGUACUGAGUCGAUGUGCACAUAUAGGUAGCGAUAAAGUCACUAGACAACAGGAUAGAUAGUAGACAGUAACAGCAGUAUACUGUAGGUAGGGGUAAAGGAUAGAUAGUAGACAGUAACAGCAGUAUACUGUAGGUAGGGGUAAAUGAUAGAUAAUAGACAGUAACAGCAGUAUACUGUAGGUAGGGGUAAAGGAUAGAUAAUAGACAGUAACAGCAGUAUACUGUAGGUAGGGGUAAAGGAUAGAUAAUAGACAGUAACAGCACUAUACUGUAGGUAGGGGUAAAGGAUAGAUAAUAGACAGUAACAGCAGUAUACUGUAGGUAGGGGUAAAGGAUAGAUAAUAGACAGUAACAGCAGUAUACUGUAGGUAGGGGUAAAGGAUAGAUAAUAGACAGUAACAGCAGUAUACUGUAGGUAGGGGAAAAGGAUAGAUAAUAGACAGUAACAGCAGUAUACUGUAGGUAGGGGUAAAGGAUAGAUAGACAGUAACAGCAGUAUACUGUAGGUAGGGGAAAAGGAUAGAUAAUAGACAGUAACAGCAGUAUACUGUAGGUAGGGGAAAAGGAUAGAUAAUAGACAGUAACAGCAGUAUACUGUAGGUAGGGGUAAAGGAUAGAUAGACAGUAACAGCAGUAUACUGUAGGUAGGAGUAAAGUGACGAGCCAAAUUGAUUUUUGAUACUGUCGCAAAUGUAACCAGCAUUCCCCAAGAGAGGAUGGCUUUCACUUCAGCAGUAAUACAUUCAUGAACUUCUUUGAGGAAAUGAUUAUUAGAAAGCAAAUUA